GGCCGCGUGGCCUAAUGGCUAAGGCGCUAGAUUUCGGUUAACAUACGAUAAUCUCUAGAGAUUCCAGGUUCGACUCCUGGCGUGGUCG
rnacentral:tRNA from 1 species